rnacentral:rRNA from 1 species
UGCAAGUCGAACGGUGAAGGCGGAGCUUGCUCUGCCGGAUCAGUGGCGAACGGGUGAGUAACACGUGGGCAACCUGCCCUUCACUCUGGGAUAACCUCGGGAAACCGGGGCUAAUACCGGAUACGACCCCUGCAGGCAUCUGCGGGGGUGGAAAGUUUUCGGUGAAGGAUGGGCCCGCGGCCUAUCAGCUUGUUGGUGAGGUAGUGGCUCACCAAGGCGACGACGGGUAGCCGGCCUGAGAGGGCGACCGGCCACACUGGGACUGAGACACGGCCCAGACUCC